rnacentral:rRNA from 1 species
GAUGAACGCUGACAGAAUGCUUAACACAUGCAAGUCAUUGGCGAAGCUGCGCUUGCGCAGUCUAGCCAAGGCGGACGGGUGAGUAACGCGUAAGGAACUUGCCCUGCAGACAGGGAUAACAGACGGAAACGACUGAUAACACCUGGUAUUGUCAGGCUGGCGCAUGCCGGCCUGAUGAAAGGAGGCGCUGCAGGAGAGCCUUGCGUCCUAUUAGCUAGUUGGUGGGGUAACGGCCCACCAAGGCGAUGAUAGGUAGCCGGCCUGAGAGGGUGAACGGCCACAAGGGGACUGAGAUACGGCCCUUACUCCUACGGGAGGCAGCAGUGGGGAAUAUUGGACAAUGGGGGCAACCCUGAUCCAGCAAUUCUGUGUGCACGAAGAAGGUUUUCGGAUUGUAAAGUGCUUUCAGCAGGGAAGAAGAAAGUGACGGUACCUGCAGAAGAAGCGACGGCUAAAUACGUG